GUGCCAGCAGCCGCGGUAAGACGGAGGGGGCUAGCGUUGUUCGGAAUUACUGGGCGUAAAGAGCGCGUAGGCGGUUUGGUAAGUUGGAAGUGAAAGCCCGGGGCUUAACCUCGGAAUUGCUUUCAAAACUGCUAAUCUAGAGUGUAGUAGGGGAUGAUGGAAUUCCUAGUGUAGAGGUGAAAUUCUUAGAUAUUAGGAGGAACACCGGUGGCGAAGGCGGUCAUCUGGGCUACAACUGACGCUGAUGCGCGAAAGCGUGGGGAGCAAACAGGAUUAGAUACCCCGGUAGUCC
rnacentral:rRNA from 1 species